CCGCCAGGGAGAGUGUUGUCUCGGCUCACGCUGACGCUCCACGUCUUUACUGAGGUAGGAGUCUAGAAAGCAGGCUGUGUGGAAAGGGAUGGGCUCCGUAGGUUAAAGAAGAGUUUGGUGUGGAUCACAGCCAACCUUGAGGGGACCUAUGGGGAGGUAAGCCCCCCGCACGUGGUAAAGAAGGCCAAACAGCAAUCUCUGAGCAUGGGCUCCAGCCAAGGCACUGGGGCGCUGGUGUGGAGACCGGAAGAGGAAGGAGGACAGGCGCGCAUGCGUGAGCGCCUAGGCGAGGCCGUGGGAGCGCACGGGCCCGCCUGUGCAGGUGUAGCGACUCUGUUCUCAGGCCAGGAAGGCACGCUCUGCCCCGCCCAGACCAUGCCCACCUCAGCACGCGGGCUGUGUCCACUGGGACCUGGCACCAAGGCGCGACUGAAAACUGGGCUUCUAGCUCUUCUCCAAAGUCAAAAUGACCAUGAAAGGGAAAUGUUUUGAAUCGAUUCAGGACAUCCAGGCAGCCACCACAGUGCAACUAAAGGCACUCAGGAAAGAGGACUUCCAGAGCUGCUUCAGAAGGUGGCAAGAAUGAUGGGCUUAGCUAGAGACUGGAAGCACAGGGAGCAGAGCUCUUCCACUGGUGGACAGUUUGCUGAGUAUGCCUGGUACACUGAAGGCCUUCUCUUCGCCUCUGGUGGGGUAGGUGCAGCUCUACUGGCAGCCUCGGAUUUUGAUAGCAAGGAAUGACUUCUGAGGUGAAUAUUCCAUUCAACAGUUUUCUUCUUUUUACAAUUUUCUGCACCAAUUACUGUAUGGCUGUUCAUGAUUGUACACCUGUCCCAUUGGUCAUGCAACAUCCUCAGAUGAAGGCCAGGAUGGGGGAAAGUGGAGGGUGCAGAAUUCUCUCUUAGAGUGUAUUGUAAGGGCUGGGAAGCAGGUUACCGGGAGGAUCCAGGAAGCUGACAUGCAGUUAGAGGAUUUUAUUUGAGGAUUGUGAAGAUUUAUUUGGGAAUGGGGAGGAGGUCUAGCUGGGAAAACAUAUAACGUGCCUGUGGGCUAGGGGAGGAGCCCCCUGAGGCAGAAUCCAGGAUUCAUUCUAUCCAAUUAAUUUAAUAAACAUUUAUCGAUCAUUUGCUACAUCCCAGACACUCUUUGAGGGGCCAGGAAAAAACAUUGAACAUAGAUAAAAGCCACUGUGCUCCACUCACAGUGCUGAAUUUUUAGUGCUAUAUUGUGACUCCACCUACUUGGCUUGAAGCUUAUGUUUCAAGAUCCUGACCAUGCCAUUGUGCUUGGUUGCAAAUGGCUUGUGUGGGGUUUCCCCCAAUCCCCUUUUGCCAUGUCACUCUACUCAGCUCUGGGGCUUAUGAUCCUGCUUUUCAGUGGUCAGACCCAAUGCCUUCCUUGGGAAGAGUCAUCAGUUGUGGUGGUCUCCAUCCUAGGGCUUUUCAGGUAUAUGGUGGCACUUCUCAGGGCUUCAUCUGACCGUGGUGAAGAAGAACACUGGGUCUGUGGUCACAGAAGCAUGCCCAUCUCCCCACUGUCCCAAUUUCUUCUCAG
rnacentral:lncRNA from 1 species